rnacentral:rRNA from 1 species
UAAGUCGAACGAGAGAGAGGGAGCUUGCUUCCUUGAUCGAGUGGCGAACGGGUGAGUAACGCGUGAGGAACCUGCCUCAAAGAGGGGGACAACAGUUGGAAACGACUGCUAAUACCGCAUAAGCCCACGGCUCGGCAUCGAGCAGAGGGAAAAGGAGCAAUCCGCUUUGAGAUGGCCUCGCGUCCGAUUAGCUAGUUGGUGAGGUAACGGCCCACCAAGGCGACGAUCGGUAGCCGGACUGAGAGGUUGAACGGCCACAUUGGGACUGAGACACGGCCCAGACUCCUACGGGAGGCAGCAGUGGGGAAUAUUGCACAAUGGGGGAAACCCUGAUGCAGCGACGCCGCGUGGAGGAAGAAGGUCUUCGGAUUGUAAACUCCUGUUGUUGAGGAAGAUAAUGACGGUACUCAACAAGGAAGUGACGGCUAACUACGUGCCAGCAGCCGCGGUAAAACGUAGGUCACAAGCGUUGUCCGGAAUUACUGGGUGUAAAGGGAGCGCAGGCGGGCGAUCAAGUUGGAAGUGAAAUCCAUGGGCUCAACCCAUGAACUGCUUUCAAAACUGAUUGUCUUGAGUAGUGCAGAGGUAGGCGGAAUUCCCGGUGUAGCGGUGGAAUGCGUAGAUAUCGGGAGGAACACCAGUGGCGAAGGCGGCCUACUGGGCACCAACUGACGCUGAGGCUCGAAAGUGUGGGUAGCAAACAGGAUUAGAUACCCUGGUAGUCCACACCGUAAACGAUGAUUACUAGGUGUUGGAGGAUUGACCCCUUCAGUGCCGCAGUU